UACGUAGGGGGCAAGCGUUGUCCGGAAUUAUUGGGCGUAAAGAGCGUGUAGGCGGUCCGGUAAGUCGGUUGUGAAAGUCCAGGGCUCAACCCUGGGAUGCCGAUCGAUACUGCCGGACUAGAGUCCGGAAGAGGCGAGUGGAAUUCCCGGUGUAGCGGUGAAAUGCGCAGAUAUCGGGAGGAACACCAAUGGCGAAGGCAGCUCGCUGGGACGGCACUGACGCUGAGGCGCGAAAGCUAGGGGAGCGAACGGG
rnacentral:rRNA from 1 species